GGGGACCCCGGGAUGCUUAUUGCACCACAUGUGUUUUUCUUUGAAACAAACUUGCUUUGGCGGUGGGCCCAGCCUGCCGCCAGAGGUCUAAACUUACAACCAAUUUUUUAUUAACUUGUCACACCAGAUUAUUACUAAAUAGUCAAAACUUUCAACAACGGAUCUCUUGGUUCUCGCAUCGAUGAAGAACGCAGCGAAAUGCGAUACGUAAUAUGAAUUGCAGAUAUUCGUGAAUCAUCGAAUCUUUGAACGCACAUUGCGCCCUCUGGUAUUCCGGAGGGCAUGCCUGUUUGAGCGUCGUUUCUCCCUCAAACCGCUGGGUUUGGUGUUGAGCAAUACGACUUGGGUUUGCUUGAAAGACGGUAGUGGUAAGGCGGGAUCGCUUUGACAAUGGCUUAGGUCUAACCAAAAACAUUGCUUGCGGCGGUAACGUCUACCACGUAUAUCUUCAAACUUUGACCUCAAAUCAGGUAGGACUACCCGCUGAACUUAAGCAUAUCAAAAGUGGGAAGGAA
rnacentral:rRNA from 1 species